UAAUAAAAAAAUUUGCUUAUCUUAUCUUAUCUUAUAAUGGUUUCUAAUAUAUACUUUAAAUAUAAACUGGUGGUAGCUAUAAGGAAUAUACGAAAUCACUCGAAAUCCAUCAUACUGUUGCCAACUUCUGAAUUGAUUGCAUCAGUCACAUUAGACAAAAGACAUACUUAAGUCAGGCGCCUCUGACCUUUGUUAAGCUUGUAUAUGUAAAUUUCUGUUUUCUUGUGUAAAUUUCGGUGUUUGUAUGACGUCCAAUAUUUUUGAACUAGCAUAUUUUUUUGUUUGCUGAGGGGCCGGCUGAUGAAGCCUCCGCAUGUGGCAGUUUCUUGUUGUAUUGAAGCCCCAUUUGUGGCCUUCGGCUGUUCUCUGCUCUUUGUUCGUGUUGAUGUCUUUUUGACACAUUCUCUAUUUCUAUUCUCAAUUUCAUUUUCAUCAAGAAUGGAAACAAGACAACAAGCAGACCAAAACAAGGUGGGUUUCAGCCGUAUCUUAAACAAUAAUGUAUGCUAGUUUAGUUAAAUAGACGCCAAAGUUAAACUACAAAACAUAUAAAUGAACCGAAAUUUAAAACAAACACACAAAACUAAUAUAGGCUAAAUAUUCCUGAUUUUGGACAGGAGGAAAAAUGACAUGGGGUUAACAAGAUUUUUAAGAUAUCAAUCCUCUUCCUAUGCCACUAGACAAUGUGGAAUAAACAAAUAAAGAGCAAUAUGCACAAACAUAAUCAGUUGGAAACAUUUUUGAGCUGUUUCUCCAAUAUGCGCUUGGCAUUUUGUCAGGGCUAAGACUGUUCAGAAUAAUGUUUCUUGGUACUUUAACAUGCAUGUUAAGAAUCGACUUAGUGUGUUGUAUUGAACAAAGCAAUAAUCACAGUCAUUUUGUCUUCCUGAUAUGUAAGAAACAGUUUUCUUUGGGUGUUCAAUACCAUCCCAUAUCAUUACCAUCCAAGCUCG
rnacentral:lncRNA from 1 species